UUCAGUCAUGAACAAUGAAGGGAUCCUUCUCUCUCCAAACUAUCCAAUGAACUAUGACAACAACCACGAGUGCAUCUACAGCAUCCAGGUUCAGGCUGGAAAAGGCAUCAACAUCUCUGCUCGAACCUUUCAUCUUGCACAAGGGGAUAUACUCAAAAUUUACGACGGUAAAGACAACAUAGCACAUAUCCUUGGAGCGUUUACGGGAUCCUCGAUGCUGGGCCUGACGCUGAUCUCCACUUCAAACCACCUCUGGCUGGAGUUUUACAGCGAUGCAGAAAGCACAGGGGAAGGAUUCAAACUGGUCUACUCAAGUUUUGAGUUGUCUCAUUGUGAGGACCCAGGCGUGCCUCAGUUUGGCUUCAAGGUCAAUGACCAAGGUCAUUUCACCGGCAGCAGCAUCACCUACAGAUGUGAGCCUGGAUACACUCUCCAUGGUGCUACCACACUGAAAUGCAUGACAGGAGAAAGGAGAGCCUGGGAUAACCCUCUGCCUUCUUGUAUUGGAUUCUCUCCCUUGGAUAUCCAUUUCCUUACGACAACAAUCUACGUUGCACAUGGAUCAUCGAAGUGGACUCAGGAAAUAUAGUGAGCUUCAAUAUUGAGCCAAACUAUGGCUUCCUGUGUAUGGAUAGCAACCAGAUAGCAACAGCCCUCUGAUUGGCAGCUUCCAGGACAGCAAACUCCCAGAGCGGAUAGAGAGCAGUUCCAAUACAAUGCAUUUAGCGUUUCGAAGUGAUGGGUCUGUUUCCUACAUUGGCUUUCACCUGGAGUACAAAGCCAAGCUGAGGGAAUCCUGUUUCGACCCAAGUGUUGUUCUGAUUGGGACCAGGUUGGGGUCUGAUUAUAAGCUAGGCUCUACUGUUACCUUCUACUGUGAGGCUGGACAUGUGCUGCAGGGCUAUUCGACUCUCACCUGCAGUAUGGGAGAUGAUGGCAGACCUGGAUGGAACAGGGCUUUGCCUAGUUGUCAAGCUCCCUGUGGCAGUCGAUCUACAGGAUCAGAAGGGACUGUUUUAUCUCCCAAUUUUCCAGGAACUAUACAUCUGGACAGACUUGUGUCUACUCUAUAUCUGUGCUAAGAG